UAAUACUGUAAUAUUCAUUAAAAUACAUAUUAAACUAUUCUUAAUAUGGUAUCAAAACCCUAAGUUAAAGAAACCAUGACUCUUUUGCAAACCCUGAUCGGUCUUAAGUGCCAAAAUAAGAAAAAAAUAAAAAAGAACCCCAAACGAGACGAGCCUUAAUAGUUGGGAAACCAAUCCCACGCAGUCUCUGUUGAGCCGCAGCCAGGCACAGUCAAUGAUGGGGACGCUUUUGCUCUACCCAGCCGGCCUUUAUAGCGACACCCAGCCGCCUUCUGUUUUGCAAGAUCAGUUUUUUAGUCGCUAUUGUUUCAUGCACAAAUCUGCUCAGUUUUCGCAUGCAGGUUUGCUCUAGUUUUCGCAUGCAGGUUUGCUCUAGUUUUCGCAUGCAGGUUUGCUCUAGUUUUAGCAUGCUGAUUUGCUCUUUUUUCCUCUGUUUUUCGAGCUAUGUUUAGCUCUGUUUUCUGAUUCCCAUUCAGCUCUGUUUCAGGUACUCUAUUUCUAUCCUGUGCAGGUGCUACACGUCGCAUAUACAAACGCUCAUAAACUCCAUUGAAAAAGCAAACUUUCUUUCUAAAGCAAUUAACCUCCACGACUACACUUAUUCCUCCGGUCUUUUCACUAAAAUGCAGGAACUAGAUGACCACACUUUCAAUGUCAUGGUCUGCAGACUAGCCACUGCAUGAUGAAAAUAUCUGCCACUAUCAAACUCGACAACCAGUGAAGUUUCAGGGCUUAAAGCCAAAUAAUUUCA
rnacentral:lncRNA from 1 species